rnacentral:rRNA from 1 species
UACAGAGGUCUCAAGCGUUGUUCGGAUUCAUUGGGCGUAAAGGGUGUGUAGGUGGCGCCGUAAGUGGGGUGUGAAAUUUCGAGGCUUAACCUCGAAACUGCAUUUCAUACUGCGGUGCUUGAGGACUGGAGAGGAGACUGGAAUUUACGGUGUAGCAGUGAAAUGCGUAGAUAUCGUAAGGAAGCCCAGUGGCGAAGGCGGGUCUCUGGACUGUUCCUGACACUGAGCCACGAAGGCCAGGGGAGCAACCGGG